rnacentral:rRNA from 1 species
UCCUACGGGGGGCAGCAGUGGGGGAUAUUGCACAAUGGGGGAAACCCUGAUGCAGCGACGCCGCGUGGGUGAAGAAGCGCCUCGGCGCGUAAAGCCCUGUCAGCAGGGAAGAAAAUGACGGUACCUGAAGAAGAAGCCCCGGCUAACUACGUGCCAGCAGCCGCGGUAAUACGUAGGGGGCAAGCGUUAUCCGGAUUUACUGGGUGUAAAGGGAGCGUAGACGGUGCAGCAAGUCUGGAGUGAAAGGCAGGGGCCCAACCCCUGGACUGCUCUGGAAACUGUUGUACUUGAGU